rnacentral:rRNA from 1 species
CCUACGGGAGGCAGCAGUGGGGGAUAUUGCACAAUGGGGGAAACCCUGAUGCAGCGACGCCGCGUGGGCGAAGAAGUAUUUCGGUAUGUAAAGCCCUAUCAGCAGGGAAGAAGAAAUGACGGUACCUGAGUAAGAAGCACCGGCUAAAUACGUGCCAGCAGCCGCGGUAAUACGUAUGGUGCAAGCGUUAUCCGGAUUUACUGGGUGUAAAGGGAGCGCAGGCGGCACGGCAAGCCUGAUGUGAAAGCCCGCGGCCCAACCGCGGGACUGCAUUGGGAACUACCGGGCUGGAGUGCCGGAGAGGUAGGCGGAAUUCCUAGUGUAGCGGUGAAAUGCGUAGAUAUUAGGAGGAACACCAGUGGCGAAGGCGGCUUACUGGACUGUAACUGACGUUGAGGCUCGAAAGCGUGGGGAGCAAACAGGAUUAGAUACCCUGGUAGUC